UAUUCUUUUCAAAAUUAUUACUAGCUAAAUCAGCUACGCAAGGCUUAAAAGUUUUGCAGAACAAAAAAACCCCAUUUGUAAAAAAGAGGCAAAUUAUGCAUAUGACGUGUGGUGAUUACCGGAAAUCCAUGAAAGAAGAAAUGAACAGUCUGAAAGAAGUAAAGAAUAGCAUAUCUGCUGUAAAAGAUGCAAAAACUGGUGUGUUUAUUCGAAAAACAAAUACUAAGAAUCAAGAAGAAAAAAUUCAAGAAUUUUCUUUCAGGUUUCAGGACCCUGAUAAUGAAAAUAAAAACUAAAUGUGAUACUACAUGAA